rnacentral:rRNA from 1 species
ACGAACGCUGGCGGCGUGCCUAAUACAUGCAAGUAGAACGCUGAAGAGAGGAGCUUGCUCUUCUUGGAUGAGUUGCGAACGGGUGAGUAACGCGUAGGUAACCUGCCUUGUAGCGGGGGAUAACUAUUGGAAACGAUAGCUAAUACCGCAUAACAAUGGAUGACACAUGUCAUUUAUUUGAAAGGGGCAAUUGCUCCACUACAAGAUGGACCUGCGUUGUAUUAGCUAGUAGGUGAGGUAAUGGCUCACCUAGGCGACGAUACAUAGCCGACCUGAGAGGGUGAUCGGCCACACUGGGACUGAGACACGGCCCAGACUCCUACGGGAGGCAGCAGUAGGGAAUCUUCGGCAAUGGGGGCAACCCUGACCGAGCAACGCCGCGUGAGUGAAGAAGGUUUUCGGAUCGUAAAGCUCUGUUGUAAGUCAAGAACGGGUGUGAGAGUGGAAAGUUCACACUGGGACGGUAGCUUACCAGAAAGGGACGGCUAACUACGG